rnacentral:rRNA from 1 species
UACGGAAGGGGCAAGCGUUGUUCGGAAUCAUUGGGCGUAAAGGGCGCGUAGGUGGUUCUGUAUGUCUACCGUGAAAGCGUACGGCUCAACCGUAUUUUGUCGGUGGAAACUGCAGGGCUUGAGUAUGGGAGAGGUAAGCGGAAUUCCUGGUGUAGCGGUGAAAUGCGUAGAUAUCAGGAGGAACACCUGUGGUGUAGACAGCUUACUGGACCAUAACUGACGCUGAGGCACGAAAGCGUGGGUAGCAAACAGG